rnacentral:rRNA from 1 species
CUUUCCUUGACGACGACUGGCGCACGGGUGAGUAACGCGUAUCCAACCUUCCCAUGACCACGGGAUAACCCGUUGAAAGACGGCCUAAUACCGUAUGACGUCGUUUGCCGACAUCGAAAGACGACCAAAGGUUUGGCGGUGAUGGAUGGGGAUGCGUCUGAUUAGCUUGUUGGCGGGGUAACGGCCCACCAAGGCUACGAUCAGUAGGGGUUCUGAGAGGAAGGUCCCCCACAUUGGAACUGAGACACGGUCCAAACUCCUACCGGAGGCAGCAGGU